UCAGCCACCCACUCCUCACCUGGGGGAGGAAAGGAUGGAGAGAGAAAGAGAGAAGAAUAGAAAGAGGGAAGGAGGGAGAGAGGUGGUAAUAAAGAUGCCCAGAGAGACAGGGAGAGUGGGAGGGUGAGAGGGAAAGAGAGAUAAUAUCUUUCUGGAAAGUCGAGGCGGAGAGCAGUGAGAGCCUCUUUAACGGCAAUCACUUUAAUAAGAGGAAGAGGCUUCCAGGCAGCACUGUGUCCCUCUCUUCUCUCUCAUUGCUGCUCCCUCUCUCUCUAUCUCUCUCUCGCUGCUCCCUCACCCUCUCUCUCUCGCUGCUCUCUAUCUCUCUCUCGCUGCUCUCUCUCUCGCUGCUCUCUAUCUCUCUCUCGCUGCUCUCUCUCGCUGCUCCCUCUCUCUCUCUCUCGCUGCUCCCUCUCUCUCUCUCUCGCUGCUCUCCUUCUAUCUCUCUCUAUCUCUCUCUCUCGCUGCUCCCUCACACUCUCUCUCUGCUCUCUCUCGCUGCUCUCUCUCUCUCUCGCUGCUCUCUCUCUCUCGCUGCUCUCUCGCUCUCGCUGCUCUCUCUCUCUGCUCUCGCUCUCGCUGCUCUCUCUCUCUCGCUGCUCUCUCUCGCUUCUCUAUCUCUCGCUGCUCUCUCUCGCUGCUCUCUCUCUCUCGCUGCUCUCUCUCUCUCUCUCGCUGCUCUCUCUCGCUGCUCUCUCUCUCUCGCUGCUCUCUCUCUCUCGCUGCGCUCUCUCUCUCUCGCUGCGCUCUCUCUCUCGCUGCUCUCUCUCGCUGCUCUCCCUCUCUCUCAUUUGCUGCUCCCUCUCUCUCUCUCUCGCUGCUCUCUCACCCUCUCUCUCUCUCUCUCUCUCUCUUGCUCUUUCCCGCUGCUCUCUCUCUCUCUCUUUCUCGCUGCUCCCUCACCCUCUCUCUCUCUCUGGCUGCUCCUCUCUCUCUGCUCUCUCUCUCGCUUCUCUCUCUCUCUCUCUCGCUGCUCUCUCUCUCUCGCUGCUCUCUCUCUCUCUCGCUGCUCUCCCUCUCUCUCAUUUGCUGCUCCCUCUCUCUCUCUCGCUGCUCUCUCACCCUCUCUCUCUCUCUCUCUUUCUCGCUGCUCCCUCACCCUCUCUCUCUCUGCUCUCUCUCUCGCUUCUCUCUCUCUCUGCUCUCUCUCUCGCUGCUCCCUCUCUCUCGCUCUCGCUCUCUCGCCUCUCUCUCUCUUUCUCGCUGCUCCCUCCCUCUCUCUCUCUCUCUCUCUCUGCUCUCUCUCUCGCUGCUCUCUCUCUCUCGCUGCUCUCUCUCGCUGCUCUCUCUCUCGCUGCUCUCUCUCUCGCUGCUCUCUCUCUCUCUCUCUCUCUCUCUCACUGCUCUCUCUCUAGCUGCUCUCUCUCUCUCUCUCUCUCUCUCUCUCCUCUCUCUCUCUCUCUCUCGCUGCUCUCUCUCUCUCUCUCGCUGCUCUCUCUCUCUCUCUCUCUCUCUCGCUGCUCUCUCUCUCUCGCUGCUCUCUCUCUCUCUCUCGCUGCUCUCUCUCUCUCUCUCGCUGCUCUCUCUCUCUCUCUCGCUGCUCUCUCUCUCUCUCUCUCUCGCUGCUCUCUCUCUCUCUCGCUGCUCUCUCUCUCUCUCUCUCCGCUGCUCUCUCUCUCGCUGCUCUCUCUCUCUCUCUCUCUCGCUGCUCUCUCUCUCGCUGCUCUCUC
rnacentral:lncRNA from 1 species